AUGAACCCCUCUGGGCAGUUUUGUUUGGACCGUGGCAUUUUGAGAAAUUCAUUUAAAAAAUAUGGCAUAAAUAUGGCAUAUUGGGAAAAAAUUCCUCACAAUUUCACACACCGAUUCACAACACGGUACAAAAUCCAUGUUUUGCAAAACCCUUUGUUUUCUCACAAUGUCUAUUCAAUAACAAUUAACCAACUCUUCAUUCACACACGGUUCACACGCAUACUCAAAAUAACCAUCUACCUUGUACAUAACCUUUUUCAUCUGGAAAAGCCUUUUCUUUCUUUUUUUUCUCAAUAA